UACAACGCACUACCUGUUCAUAGUAGUCGUUGCUGUCAACAGCACACUGCUCACCAUCAACGCAGGGGACUACAUCUUCUACACAGACUGGGCGGGGACGUCCUUCGUUGUGUUCUCGGUGUCGCCUUCGACCAUUACUGACAUAGUCGCAAGAUGCUACAUGGUAUUCAACAUUUCUCCAGGCACCGCAACCUAUCAAGGCUCUAGCAUUAAUCUCAACCAACGCGAGGCACCGCGCGCAUGUUCGGACUGUGCAUACCGUUACGUGUUUGGCGGCGCGACAACACGCCACUAGCACGCUGCCAUACUUAUUGACGGUACGCUGGUUAGCCUAGACUUCCCGCUGUUCAACAUGUUCAACCUGUUGCUUGUAAGGGACCCGCUCGAGGUGGCCUUAACGUAUCCGAGACCGACUAGGCCCGCGUACAUGACGCCUAUAGAGCCUCAGGUAGGGAGGUUCUACAACUCGCCUGUCGCCCUGGGUUCAGGUGCCGGUGCAGUGCUAACGGUACCCAUCGCUGCGUUGGGUGCAAAACUAAACACGUGG
rnacentral:rRNA from 1 species